rnacentral:rRNA from 1 species
UACGUAGGGGGCAAGCGUUGUCCGGAUUUAUUGGGCGUAAAGAGCGUGUAGGCGGCCAUACAGGUCAGCUGUGAAAACUCGAGGCUCAACCUCGAGACGUCGGUUGAAACCGUAUGGCUAGAGUCCGGAAGAGGAGAGUGGAAUUCCCGGUGUAGCGGUGAAAUGCGCAGAUAUCGGGAAGAACACCCGUGGCGAAGGCGGCUACUCGUGGGACGGUACUGACGCUGAGACGCGAAAGCGUGGGGAGCGAACAGGA